UCCGGUGGCAAUGGCGGUGGGGCAACACCCGUACCCAUACCGAACACGGCAGUUAAGCCCACCAGCGCCGAUGGUACUUGGACCGCAGGGUCCUGGGAGAGUAGGUCGCUGCCGGAC
rfam:Carboxydocella sporoproducens DSM 16521 genome assembly, contig: BR84DRAFT_scaffold00044.44